GACGAACGCUGGCGGCGUGCCUAAUACAUGCAAGUCGAACGCAGUGGGGACGGGUGAGUAACACGUGGGUAACCUCCCAUCAGAGGGGAUAACUAUUGGAAACAGCUGCUAAACCGAUACUGAUUGAUGGAACCGGUGUGCAGUAGCUAGUUGGUGAGGUAACGGCUCACCAAGGCCACGAUGAAUAGCUGACCUUAGAGGUUGAGCGGCCACACUGGGACUGAGACACGCCCCAGACUCCUACGGGAGGCAGCAGUAGGGAAUCUUCGGCAAUGGACGAAAGGCGAACCGAGCAACGCCGCGUGAGUGAAGAAGGGUUUAGGAUCGUAAAGCUCUGUUAUUAGAGAAGCGGUAUCUAACCAGAAAGCCACGGCUAACUACGUGCCAGCAGCCGCGGUAAUAC
rnacentral:rRNA from 1 species